rnacentral:rRNA from 1 species
AACGAACGCUGGCGGCAUGCCUAACACAUGCAAGUCGAACGAUCCCUUCGGGGAUAGUGGCGCACGGGUGCGUAACGCGUGGGAACCUGCCCUUAGGUUCGGAAUAACUCAGAGAAAUUUGAGCUAAUACCGGAUAAUGUCUUCGGACCAAAGAUUUAUCGCCUUUGGAUGGGCCCGCGUUGGAUUAGCUAGUUGGUGGGGUAAAGGCCUACCAAGGCGACGAUCCAUAGCUGGUCUGAGAGGAUGAUCAGCCACACUGGGACUGAGACACGGCCCAGACUCCUACGGGAGGCAGCAGUGGGGAAUAUUGGACAAUGGGCGAAAGCCUGAUCCAGCAAUGCCGCAUGAGUGAUGAAGGCCUUAGGGUUGUAAAGCUCUUUUACCCGGGAUGAUAAUGACAGUACCGGGAGAAUAAGCCCCGGCUAACUCCGUG